rnacentral:rRNA from 1 species
UACGGGGGGGGCAAGCGUUGUUCGGAAUUACUGGGCGUAAAGGGUGCGUAGGCGGCUUUCUAAGUUGGAUGUGAAAACUCUGGGCUCAACCUGGGAACCGCGCUUGAGACUGGAGAACUAGAGUUCGGGAGAGGAUGGUGGAAUUCCCAGUGUAGAGGUGAAAUUCGUAGAUAUUGGGAAGAACACCGAUGGCGAAGGCAGCCAUCUGGACCGACACUGACGCUGAGGCGCGAAAGCGUGGGGAGCAAACAGG